GCUUAACACAUGCAAGUCGAACGGUAAGGCCCUUCGGGGUACACGAGUGGCGAACGGGUGAGUAACACGUGGGUGACCUGCCCUGUACUUCGGGAUAAGCCUGGGAAACUGGGUCUAAUACCGGAUAUGACCUUCCCCUGCAUGGGGGUUGGUGGAAAGCUUUUGCGGUACAGGAUGGGCCCGCGGCCUAUCAGCUUGUUGGUGGGGUAAUGGCCUACCAAGGCGACGACGGGUAGCCGGCCUGAGAGGGCGACCGGCCACACUGGGACUGAGACACGGCCCAGACUCCUACGGGAGGCAGCAGUGGGGAAUAUUGCACAAUGGGCGGAAGCCUGAUGCAGCGACGCCGCGUGAGGGAUGACGGCCUUCGGGUUGUAAACCUCUUUCAGUAGGGACGAAGCGCAAGUGACGGUACCUACAGAAGAAGCACCGGCCAACUACGUGCCAGCAGCCGCGGUAAUACGUAGGGUGCGAGCGUUGUCCGGAUUUACUGGGCGUAAAGAGCUCGUAGGCGGUUUGUCACGUCGUCUGUGAAAACCCGAGGCUUAACCUCGGGCCUGCAGGCGAUACGGGCAGACUUGAGUACUGUAGGGGAGACUGGAAUUC
rnacentral:rRNA from 1 species